CGGGGUAUAGCUCAGCAGGUAGAGCGGCGGACUCUUAAUCCGUUGGUCGCAGGUUCAAGCCCUGCUGCCCCGACCA
rnacentral:tRNA from 1 species